CCCCUGCUCACACACUCUCUCUCUGUGUCUCUCUCAAAAACAAACAUUAAAAAAUUUUAAAUAAACAUUAACGUCCUCUUUUGUCUCUCCCCCGACUAGAAUUAAAGGUCCGUGCUUAGGGGCGCCUGGGUGGCUCAUUUGGUUAAGCGUCUAACUCUUGAGAUCGGAUGAGCA